GCAUUGCAGCAAACCCGUUCUCCUCUUGUCAGUGUGGAGCACGGGUAUAGAUGAUGCCAGAGUGACUCAAAGUUAAUCCAGACGGGCUUCUUCCUUCUAUUAGAACCUGUCUCUACAACUUUGACACAAAG